GCAUUGGUGGUUCAGUGGUGGAAUUCUCACCUUGCAUGAGGGAGACCUGGGUUCAGUUCCUGGCCAAUGCG
rnacentral:tRNA from 1 species